AGGAGACACAGGUUUGAUUCCUGGGUUGGAAAGAUCCCCUGGAGGAGGGCAUGGCAACCUGCUCCCGUAUUCUUGCCUGGAGAAUUCCUCGGACAGAGGAGCCUGGAGGGCUACAGUCCAUAGGGUUGCAGAGUCGGACACAACGGAGACAACUUAGCACACGUACACACCUUAAUCCAGAGAGAGUGAAAAGAAUUACCAUCUAACACAAGGCCACUUUUCAAGAUGAAGGAGGGAUUGAACUGUCACACCAGUGUAAUCAAUUAAAUGACAGAGGAAAGAGGCAUCUGCUACCUGACAGAUCCCCUGGGCAAGAAUGACUGAAUGGGGAAGGCUGAAUACACUUUAAAUCACAACGGAGAGGUCUACAAUGUUUCUGAAACUUCUUUUGGAGCAGAACUGAAUGAACUUUGGAACUGCUUGGGCUCUGAUAGAAUUAGUCCUUCUUAGCAGCGGAAUCCAUUUGGCUGUUUCUAUUUGUGGAGUCAAUUGUGAGACAUCCAU
ensembl:lncRNA